rnacentral:rRNA from 1 species
AGUCCACGCCGUAAACGGUGGGCACUAGUUGUGGGAACCUUCCACGGUUUCUGCGACGCAGCUAACGCAUUAAGUGCCCCGCCUGGGGAGUACGAUCGCAAGAUUAAAACUCAAAGGAAUUGACGGGGCCCCGCACAAGCAGCGGAGCAUGCGGCUUAAUUCGACGCAACGCGAAGAACCUUACCAAGGCUUGACAUAUACAGGAAUAUGGCAGAAAUGUCAUAGCCGCAAGGUCUGUAUACAGGUGGUGCAUGGUUGUCGUCAGCUCGUGUCGUGAGAUGUUGGGUUAAGUCCCGCAACGAGCGCAACCCUCGUUCUGUGUUGCCAGCAUUUAGUUGGGGACUCACAGGAGACUGCCGGGGUUAACUCGGAGGAAGGUGGGGAUGACGUCAAAUCAUCAUGCCCCUUAUGUCUUGGGCUGCACGCAUGCUACAAUGGCUGGUACAAACGGCUGCGAUACCGCAAGGUGGAGCGAAUCCGAUAAAGCCAGUCUCAGUUCGGAUUGGGGUCUGCAACUCGACCCCAUGAAGUCGGAGUUGCUAGUAAUCGUAGAUCAGCAACGCUACGGUGAAUACGUUCCCGGGGCUUGUACACACCGCCCGUCACGUCACGAAAGUCGGUAACACCCGAA